rnacentral:rRNA from 1 species
GACGUAGGGGGCUAGCGUUGUCCGGAAUCAUUGGGCGUAAAGAGCGUGUAGGCGGCCCGGUAAGUCCGCUGUGAAAGUCGGGGGCUCAACCCUCGAAUGCCGGUGGAUACUGUCGGGCUAGAGUGCGGAAGAGGCGAGUGGAAUUCCUGGUGUAGCGGUGAAAUGCGCAGAUAUCAGGAGGAACACCGAUUGCGAAGGCAGCUCGCUGGGACGUAACUGACGCUGAGACGCGAAAGCGUGGGGAGCAAACAGG